GGCCUGGUGGCCGAGUGUCUGGCGCUCGGUACCACAGGUUUCGGGUUCGAGUCCCGAGGUGCCAUGGUUGUUUGCAGUGGUUCGAAUCCACUUUAAACCG